rnacentral:rRNA from 1 species
AGUGAACGCUGGCGGUAGGCCUAACACAUGCAAGUCGAACGGCAGCACAGUAAGAGCUUGCUCUUACGGGUGGCGAGUGGCGGACGGGUGAGGAAUACAUCGGAAUCUACUUUUUCGUGGGGGAUAACGUAGGGAAACUUACGCUAAUACCGCAUACGACCUACGGGUGAAAGCAGGGGAUCUUCGGACCUUGCGCGAUCGAAUGAGCCGAUGUCGGAUUAGCUAGUUGGUGGGGUAAAGGCCCACCAAGGCGACGAUCCGUAGCUGGUCUGAGAGGAUGAUCAGCCACACUGGAACUGAGACACGGUCCAGACUCCUACGGGAGGCAGCAGUGGGGAAUAUUGGACAAUGGGCGCAAGCCUGAUCCAGCCAUACCGCGUGGGUGAAGAAGGCCUUCGGGUUGUAAAGCCCUUUUGUUGGGAAAGAAAAGCAGCAGGUUAAUACCCCGCUGUUCUGACGGUACCCAAAGAAUAAGCACCGGCUAACUUCGUG